AUAGGUACUGAUUGCAGAUACAUUUUUCUGGUUUUAGCACAAGACCUCAACAUAAAAUGAUCCCAUUUAUGGAAAGAGCAUAGCCUACUGUGCUAUUUCAUAACGGCUAGAUGGAGGCCAAAGGGUAACCCAAGUAAUGGACCCAUAUGGAGACAUCCAGUAUACAGGACGCCAAACCACACAGGGCUGAUCCCUACAUAGAAAUACACGGCGCGGGGCGAUGACCUUUCUACCCCACCGAUGUAAUUCGAUUUUAUGCUUUGGGAAGGAAUUAAAG